UUUCUUGACUUGGAACGGAUUACAUUUUUUUACAUUGAUUCCAAUGGGAAACAUGGUUUCGGUUUUCGAACAAUUCGGUUUUCGAAGUCUUCUGGAACGUAUUAUGUACGAAAACCGAGAUUUGACUAUAUAUAUAUAU